GACGAACGCUGGCGGCGUGCUUAACACAUGCAAGUCGAACGGAAAGGCCCUGCUUGCAGGGUACUCGAGUGGCGAACGGGUGAGUAACACGUGGGUGAUCUGCCCUGCACUUCGGGAUACGCCUGGGAAACUGGGUCUAAUACCGGAUAGGAGCCAUUUUUAGUGUGAUGGUUGGAAAGUUUUUUCGGUGUAGGAUUAGCUCGCGGCCUAUCAGCUUGUUGGUGGGGUAAUGGCCUACCAAGGCGGCGACGGGUAGCCGGCCUGAGAGGGUGGACGGCCACACUGGGACUGAGAUACGGCCCAGACUCCUACGGGAGGCAGCAGUGGGGAAGAUUGCACAAUGGGCGCAAGCCUGAUGCAGCGAGGCCGCGUGGGGGAUGACGGCCUUCGGGUUGUAAACUCCUUUCGCGAGGGACGAAGCUUUUUGUGACGGUACCUAGAUAAGAAGCACCGGCUAACUACGUG
rnacentral:rRNA from 1 species